CCUACGGGUGGCAGCAGUGAGGAAUAUUGGUCAAUGGACGAGAGUCUGAACCAGCCAAGUAGCGUGUAGGAUGACUGCCCUAUGGGUUGUAAACUUCUUUUAUAUGGGAAUAAACUGUUCCACGUGUGGGAUUUUGUAUGUACCAUAUGAAUAAGGAUCGACUAACUCCGUGCCAGCAGCAGCGGUAAUACGGAGGAUCCGAGCGUUAUCCGGAUUUAUUGGGUUUAAAGGGAGCGUAGGUGGAUUGUUAAGUCAGUUGUGAAAGUUUGCGGCUCAACCGUAAAAUUGCAGUUGAAAAUGGCAGUCUUGAGUACAGUAGAGGUGGGCGGAAUUCGUGGUGUAGCGGUGAAAUGCUUAGAUAUCACGAAGAACUCCGAUUGCGAAGGCAGUUCACUGGACUGCAACUGACACUGAGGCUCGAAAGUGUGGGUAUCAAACAGGAUUAGAUACCCUAGUAGUC
rnacentral:rRNA from 1 species